AUUGAACGCUGGCGGCAGGCUUAACACAUGCAAGUCGAGCGGAGCGAGGGUGCUUGCUACCGGACCUAGCGGCGGACGGGUGAGUAAUGCUUAGGAAUCUGCCUAUUAGUGGGGGACAACAUCUCGAAAGGGAUGCUAAUACCGCAUACGUCCUACGGGAGAAAGCAGGGGAUCUUCGGACCUUGCGCUAAUAGAUGAGCCUAAGUCGGAUUAGCUAGUUGGUGGGGUAAAGGCCUACCGAGGCGACGAUCUGUAGCGGGUCUGAGAGGAUGAUCCGCCACACUGGGACUGAGACACGGCCCAGACUCCUACGGGAGGCAGCAGUGGGGAAGAUUGGACUAUGGGGGGAACCCUGAUCCAGCCAUGCCGCGUGUGUGAAGAAGGCCUUAUGGUUGUAAAGCACUUUAAGCGAGGAGGAGGCUCUUUUGGUUAAUACCCAAGAUGAGUGGACGUUACUCGCAGAAUAAGCACCGGCUAACUCUGUGCCAGCCGCCGCCGUAA
rnacentral:rRNA from 1 species